CCUACGGGGGGCAGCAGUGAGGAAUAUUGGUCAAUGGGCGCGAGCCUGAACCAGCCAAGUCGCGUGAGGGAAGACGGUCCUAUGGAUUGUAAACCUCUUUUGUCGGGGAGCAAAAGACGCCACGCGUGGCGUUCCGAGAGUACCCGAAGAAAAAGCAUCGGCUAACUCCGUGCCAGCAGCCGCGAUAAUACGUAGGGAGCAAGCGUUAUCCGGAUUUACUGGGUGUAAAGGGCGUGUAGGCGGGCAUGCAAGCCAGAAGUGAAAUCUGGGGGCUUAACCCCCAAACUGCUUUUGGAACUGCGUGUCUUGAGCGAUGGAGAGGCAGGCGGAAUUCCCAGUGUAGCGGUGAAAUGCGUAAAUAUAUGUAAGAACACCAGUGGCGAAGGCGGCUUGCUGGGUCGAUACUGACAUUGAGGCACGAAAGCGUGGGGAGCAAACAGGAUUAGAUACCCCAGUAGUC
rnacentral:rRNA from 1 species